rnacentral:misc_RNA from 1 species
AGGAGUUAAGAAGAUUGAAAAUGAAAGAUGAGACUUUAAAAAAGUGUUGCGGAGCUUCUCUCAAGGUUAGAAGAAAACAUCUUCAACUGUAUCUUAUGGUGAUUCGCGUGAACACCUGUUGAAGUUCAUGGACAAAUAGAGUUCCUUCAUGAAGACGUAAUCGCGGAACAUCAAUCAUGCGCGAAUUAGAUAAAAGGCAAUUACGUAAACCGUACGGUCGAUAGAAAUACUCCUUCCAGGAUCUAAAGCCAAUGCAAAUUUCCCAGAUAAG